UGGGUAGUCCGUACGAGCGCACCUUGUCAUUAGUUGCUACAUUCAGUUGAGCACUCUAAUGAGACUGCCGGUGACAAACCGGAGGAAGGUGGGGAUGACGUCAAGUCCUCAUGGCCCUUAUAGGUGGGGCUACACACGUCAUACAAUGGCUGGUACAGAGGGUUGCCAACCCGCGAGGGGGAGCUAAUCCCAUAAAACCAGUCGUAGUCCGGAUCGCAGUCUGCAACUCGACUGCGUGAAGUCGGAAUCGCUAGUAAUCGCGGAUCAGCAUGCCGCGGUGAAUACGUUCCCGGGUCUUGUACACACCGCCCGUCACACCAUGGGAGCGGGUCUCGCCAGAAGUAGGUAGCCUAACCGCAAGGAGGGCGCUUACCACGGCGGGGUUCGUGACUGGGGUGAAGUCGUAACAAGGUAGCCGUAUCGGAAGGUGCGGCUGGAUCACCUCCUUUCU
rnacentral:rRNA from 1 species